rnacentral:lncRNA from 1 species
UCAAUAGCAGGAAAGACAUCCACUAUCUUCACACACAUGCAAUAAACACCUUACAUCGCAAACUUAUUACAGCAGAAACCCCAUAAAACCAGAUACCAGUAGCGCUUGCCCGCUUAAGCUCUGCGGCACACAUCACCAUGGCAGAUCCUUCCUUCCUUUCCCUUUUCACUUCCAGUAUCUUCAUCUUCCUUCAAAGCACACUUGGGGUGAAGAUCAAAGUCACAUUGUUUGCAAUAGAAAGACCAACUAUGUCCUGUUCCACGACAGCCAUUGCAAAUAUAUACUUUGCGUUUAGUACGUAUCAGCUCAUGCUCAGUAUGAAGUUCGUGUUUCACUUUCUCUGGCCACCCCUUUGCCUUUUCCUCAAGCUCCUCCUCCAAUUGCUUUAGAUGUUCCUCGGUAAAUGGAAAAGCAUCUGCCCCGUAACUUGUCAAGUGCAUCCGAGCUUCCUUGGUAAUGGUCCGGCCACUUGGGCCAAUCGCUACAGCUGCAGGAAUGCCUUGAAUUUUGAAUUUCCGACUCAGGAUUUGUUUCCUUUCGUCACCAAAUGGAAGGGCUAACCAAGGCAUUUCUGAAUAGAACUCGUCAAAGGUGGAUUGAUCGCUGUCACUUGAGAUGAAGAUCACCUCAAAUGCAUUGUCUUUUGCUUUAAUUGUGUGGUAUGCUUCAAUUAGCUUGGGUAAAAAGGCACGACAAGGAGGGCACCAUUGAGCUGAGAAGUAAAGAAGAAUGUUCUUUCCAACUAGAUCAGACACUCGGACCUAAUCAAAGAGCAAACCAUUUGAAUGAUAAAAAUACCUUUGCUAAUGAAUUCAAUUCGAGAUAAUAAGCAAGUUAUUGAAAGUAAUGCAAUAACAACAUGCGAUGUUAGCACAGAACAAAAAAUUACCUUGGAUCCACUUUUGUCAAUCACAAAAUCAUUUUCCCCAUUAACCAAAACUGACUCAAGCGUCUGCGAUUCCAGUUUUGCCUUUUCAAUUUCAGCUAGCUCCUCAAGCUUUUCCGGUGUAAAUGGGUAGGCUUCAAUUCCAUGGUCUUCGAUGAGUUCAGCUACAUUUGGGUUCAAAGUCUUCCCAUCUUGGCCAAUUAUGACAAGAUUAGGAAUGGUUCUAAGUUCAAAAUACCGCGCUAGCUUCUCGCAGCUCUUGUCCUUAAACGGCAAUGCCAACCAAGGCAUUGUCUCAAAACUCUCUUUGAAUUAGGACUACUUCAAGUUCUCUCCUUUUUCCUUGAGCCUCUUGUACAAUUCCACUAGUUUAGGAGUGAAUUCACGGCACAAUCCUAUGAGCAUGGAUUGAGAAAUACAAGCCAACCAAUUUUCCUUCAAGGUCCAACACAGGGAUCUGCCAUUACAGAUAGCAAAAAUGUAAAUUAUGGCAUCAUCAUUAAAAAUAGCAAAAAAGUGAAUGAUGGCAUCAUCAAUUCAAUUUCAAAACUAGCUAAUUGAAUGAGCCAUCUACCUUUUUUCCAUCAUUUGAAAUCACAUAAUCACGUGAGCUUGAAACCAAGAUAGAGCUUAUGGUUUGAUUCUUCUUAGCAUUCUCUUCUUGCUCUUUCAGGAAAUUCAGUCUAUCAAGGUUGAACGGAUACCCAUCCACGCCAUGUUCCUUGACAGUGCUGACUCCAUUAUCGCAGGAAACCUUGCCAUUCGUAUCAAAAAUGACAAGAUUAGGGAUCCCUCUUACUUUGAACACUUCCUUAAGACGUUUGCGGGUCUCCGUAUCAGAGAAGGGAAUAGCAAGCCAUGGCAUUUCGGAGAAGUAUGUGUUGAAGGAUUCAUCGUCUCUGUCAGAAGAAAUGAAGACCACCUCAAAGUCCCCUUUGGAUGAUAGCUGUUCAUAGACUUCUACCAACAACGGAGUGAAAUUACGGCACGGCCCGCACCACGAACCAGAGAAGUAGAAUCCCACAAUCUUCCCAACCAAAUUGCUGACCUUAACCUAAAAAUUAACGUGGAACAUUAUCAGAAAAAAGUUUCAGCCCUUAACGAAUCAAAAUCUUAUUUGUGGUUUCUUUCUCUUGCCAGUGAGAGAAGCAACAAAAAAAAGAGCUUUUUCUUAAUCAUAAAAGCUUCAGAAAUUGGUCAUAAAUUUGUUCUUCAGCAAGGCUUGCAGUCUAAUUUAAACAUGAUAUUCAUCUUAAUUACUAGAAAAACCUACAAGUUCAUAUAAAAAAAGACGUCAACUUAUAAUAAGACAAGAAGAAGUAGAAUUGAAUAAGAUCAGAGAAACUCAUAUGCUAAAAGCAGUACCUGAUCACCAUUGUUGCGGAUGAGAAAGUCCCUCUCUUCUGAAGAAAGAAGCUUUGAAAGGUCGAGAGAAACGUCUUCGGUGGCCAUAGCUAGCUAUGUGAUGAACUACUCAAAAGGCUAGAACAAUUGCCAAUCCCAGUUGCUGUGUAAUGGAACUUCCAGGCUAAGGCUCCUUUAAAGUACCUGCUCGCCCGGCCUAGGAAAUUAUUAUUCUAAUUGUCAACGACGACUACAAGGCUUGGCUGGUGUCGAGUGAUGACGAAGACAUUAUGACGUAGGUCCGCGGAAGCGGUAUUCGCAUUAUUACGUGCUUCUAUAAAUCUCCUAUUGCUUCAUUUUUUUUUUAACAUGUUUUUUUUAAUCUCCUUUUUUUGUUUGUAUUCUAGUUUUUUAAAAAUUAUGAGUUUGUUAUUAAAUAUAUUUUUUGUUUUUAUCUCUUUAAUAAAAUCUUUAUUAAAUGUGACUUGAUGAUAACAACAUGUAAUUUAAUAAAUUGGUUAAGAUCCAAACUUAAUAGAUUCCUUCUUAUCCUUCUGAUAAAGUUUUUUAAUAGUGAAACUCUCAACUCCUUUUGAUUUAAAAAAUAAUGAUGUUACGUGUAUUUAAUAAUUAUAAAUCAAAUUAUAUUAUGUAUUUGAGCCACGUCAUGACUCUAUUUCAAUAAAAAAAAUCCUUAUAUUUUUAGGAGAGAAAGAAAGAGUUUUUAAAUACAAUAUUUUAUCAUAAUUUUGACCUUUCCCUACUCAAAAGUGCACUAUACAUAUAUAUCAUUAUCUUUUAUCGAACACUCCAAAUGUAUUUAAAUUUGUCAAUUAAUUGUAAAUAAGGGAAGUUAAUGAAUUUCCACUCUAAAAUGUUCAAAUUCAUUGUUUGCUUUCAACUUUGUUCUAAUUAAAUCAGGUUAAGUAUAUGACUUUUUUCAUUAGUGGGUAUCCACUAGAUAUUCUAUUUGAUCUAUUUUUUUAAUUAAUUUUAUAAAAAUAAAACCUAAACUAAAAAAAUAAAAUAAUUCCUCCUUCAUGAAUCAUAAAACUAUGAAAUUAAAUUAAAUAAAAAAAUAAGAGAUGUUGUUAGUUUAGUGUUGUUGCAAAGUGGACAAAAACUCAAAAUAUCAAGGAUAAGAAUAAUAUUAUAGUUUUAUUUUUAAAAUUUUUUUUCAAUAUAAUCACUAAAUAUUUUUUUUAAUUUCAUCUUUGAUAUUUUAUUAAUCAAGAAUUUGGACUUAUUGGUUGGUUUUCUAUAAUCUUUUAUGUGGGGGAAAUUAAAUGUCUCUACAUUAGGGUCAUGUUUGAUUUUACAAAAUAAAAUCCUAUUUUAUUGCAUAUAAAAAUUUAAGACUUGGGGCCAAAAUUGACCGUUAGCAACAAUUUCAAGAUUCUUUAUUUGAGAAAUGUUCAUUUCUCCAUAUUUUACUUUAAAAAUUUUAUAUUUUAAUCCAAAACUCUAUUUUGAUCACAUUUCAGUCUCUAGCUUUAAACAAAAGAUAAAAAUUCAUUGAAAAUAAUGAAAGAGAGAGAAACACAUAGAGUGACAAAGUUUUGUUAGUAAAAAUAACUAAAAUUUGUGUCAAUGUGUUCUUCUUGAUAAGAAGAGUGCUACUAUGGUGUUUUUGACUUUUUAUAUAUAAAAAAAAAACAGAUCGAGAUUUGGAGAGUUUUUUUUUAAGGUUAAACUUUGUGUUUUAAAAUUAUUUUAGGGUUUUUUUAGUUGAUGGAUUAGUUUAUAGACAAUCUAAAAGUGUCUAUUAGAUAUUUUUAGAUAAAAAUAUAUUAAAAAAUAAAUUUUAAAAUAAAAAACAAUCCAAUUCUUCAUCCACCUUUCCAAUGAUAGGAAAAUUAAGCAAGUAAAAUGAUGUGUCAUUUACUUUAUUUAAAGAAAAAACAAUAAAGGAUAGAUGUUAUGUCAUCCAUCAAAGAAAACAUAAAAAUAUAAAAUGGCUCUUCCAUCUUUUGAAUAAUUGAGCCAUUUGGCCCCACAAACAUGGCUUGUUUUGGGCCAUUAUUUUUAAAUUUUUGGAUCUUUAUCCUUGAGUUUUAAUUUUAUUUCAUUAAAAUUAAUUAUUUAAGAACACAUUAAGGAUGUUAUUUUAAUAAAUACUUAAAUUAUUAAAAAUAUACAUGAGAUAUUAUUUUAUUAGAUACCAUUUAAUUUUUACUUUGUUUUUAAAUAAAAUUAUAAUAUUUUUUUUAUAAUAUUAGUAAGGGUUUUUUUGGCAUAACCCAUCAUGAUCUUUCUUAUCUUUGCACAUACGCUGUCAAAGACUAUAAUAAUAGAUUCCAUGAAAAAGAAACUGCGAGAACAUGAAACAUGCAUUUGAACAUGAAAAGGUAAAUAAGCUGAACAUAAUUAAUGGGCCAUAGAAGCGAAGGUUUUUUCAAUGGCUUCAAACUUCUUGGCAGCGUGCUUCAUUGUUGUCGCCGAAUUUCUUCGCAGUGUGCUUGCUUGAAACGUGGAUGUAUCACAUGGAUGAUAUUUUCGUUCUUUGGACAGGAGUGAUAAGCAUUUUCCUUUAGGAAUGACAAAAACCUCAUAACAAGUGAUUGAAAUUUGAGAACAACCAUCAACCAUGGAUUCCCAGGUUUCAAAUGGGUCACAGGAUUCACAUAAACACAGCCAAUCCGGUUAUUUAUGUUUGGUAUCGAAAUACAAGACAUGAAAAUCCUUCAGCAACACGCCUCUUAAUUAGAUAUCAAUAGCAGGAAAGACAUCCACUAUCUUCACACACAUGCCACAAACACCUUACAUCGCAAACUUAUUACGGCAGAAACCCCAUAAAACCAGAUACCAGGUGCGCUUGCCCGCUUAAGCUCUGCGGCACACAUCACCAUCGCAGAUCCUUCCUUCCUUUCCCUUUUCAGUUCCAGUAUCUUCAUCUUCCUUCAAAGCACACUUAGGGUGAAGAUCAAAGUCACAUUGUUUGCAAUAGAAAGACCAACCAUGUCCUGUUCCACGACAGCCAUUGCAAACAUAUGCUUUGCGUUUAGUACGAAUCAGCUCAUGCUCAGUAUGAAGUUCGUGUUUCACUUUCUCUGGCCACCCCUUUGCCUUUUCCUCAAGCUCCUCCUCCAAUUGCUUUAGAUGUUCCUCGGUAAAUGGAAAAGCAUCUGCCCCGUAAGCUGUCAAGUGCAUCCGAGCUUCCUUGGUAAUGGUCCGGCCACUUGGGCCAAUCGCUACAGCUGCAGGAAUGCCUUGAAUUUUGAAUUUCCGACUCAGGAUUUGUUUCCUUUCAUCACCAAAUGGAAGGGCUAACCAAGGCAUUUCUGAAUAGAACUCGUCAAAGGUGGAUUGAUCGCUGUCACUUGAGAUGAAGAUCACCUCAAAUGCAUUGUCUUUUGCUUUAAUUGUGUGGUAUGCUUCAAUUAGCUUGGGUAAAAAGGCACGACAAGGAGGGCACCAUUGAGCUGAGAAGUAAAGAAGAAUGUUCUUUCCAACUAGAUCAGACACUCGGACCUAAUCAAAGAGCAAACCAUUUGAAUGAUAAAAAUACCUUUGCUAAUGAAUUCAAUUCGAGAUAAUAAGCAAGUUAUUGAAAGUAAUGCAAUAACAACAUGCGAUGUUAGCACAGAACAAAAAAUUACCUUGGAUCCACUUUUGUCAAUCACAAAAUCAUUUUCCCCAUUAACCAAAACUGACUCAAGCGUCUGCGAUUCCAGUUUUGCCUUUUCAAUUUCAGCUAGCUCCUCAAGCUUUUCCGGUGUAAAUGGGUAGGCUUCAAUUCCAUGGUCUUCGAUGAGUUCAGCUACAUUUGGGUUCAAAGUCUUCCCAUCUUGGCCAAUUAUGACAAGAUUAGGAAUGGUUCUAAGUUCAAAAUACCGCGCUAGCUUCUCGCAGCUCUUGUCCUUAAACGGCAAUGCAAACCAAGGCAUUGUCUCAAAACUCUCUUUGAAGUGUUUUUCCUCAGAGUCUAGAGAUAUUAGGACUACUUCAAAGUUCUCUCCUUUUUCCUUGAGCCUCUUGUACAAUUCCACUAGUUUAGGAGUGAAUUCACGGCACAUCCUAUGAGCAUGGAUUGAGAAAUACAAGCCAACCAAUUUUCCUUCAAGGUCCAACACAGGGAUCUGCCAUUACAGAUAGCAAAAAUGUAAAUUAUGGCAUCAUCAUUAAAAAUAGCAAAAAAGUGAAUGAUGGCAUCAUCAAUUCAAUUUCAAAACUAGCUAAUUGAAUGAGCCAUCUACCUUUUUUCCAUCAUUUGAAAUCACAUAAUCACGUGAGCUUGAAACCAAGAUAGAGCUUAUGGUUUGAUUCUUCUUAGCAUUCUCUUCUUGCUCUUUCAGGAAAUUCAGUCUAUCAAGGUUGAACGGAUACCCAUCCACGCCAUGUUCCUUGACAGUGCUGACUCCAUCAUCGCAGGAAACCUUGCCAUUCGUAUCAAAAAUGACAAGAUUAGGGAUCCCUCUUACUUUGAACACUUCCUUAAGACGUUUGCGGGUCUCCGUAUCAGAGAAGGGAAUAGCAAGCCAUGGCAUUUCGGAGAAGUACGUGUUGAAGGAUUCAUCAUCUCUGUCAGAAGAAAUGAAGACCACCUCAAAGUCCCCUUUGGAUGAUAGCUGUUCAUAGACUUCUACCAACAACGGAGUGAAAUUACGGCACGGCCCGCACCACGAACCAGAGAAGUAGAAUCCCACAAUCUUCCCAACCAAAUUGCUGACCUUAACCUAAAAAUUAAUUUCGAAAAUUAUCAGAAAAAAAAUCAGCCCUUAACGAAUCAAAAUCUUAUUCAUGGUUUCUUUCUCUUGCCAGUGAGAGAUGCAACAAAAAAAAAGAGCUUUUUCUUAAUCAUAAAAGCUUCAGAAAUUGGUCAUAAAUUUGUUCUUCAGCAAGGCUUUGCAGUCUAAUUUAAACAUGAUAUGCAUCUUAAUUACUAGAAAAACCUACAAGUUCAUAUAAAAAAAGACGUCAACUUAUAAUAAGACAAGAAGAAGUAGAAUUGAAUAAGAUCAGAGAAACUCAUAUGCUAAAAGCAGUACCUGAUCACCAUUGUUGCGGAUGAGAAAGUCCCUCUCUUCUGAAGAAAGAAGCUUUGAAAGGUCGAGAGAAACGUCUUCGGUGGCCAUAGCUAGCUAUGUGAUGAACUACUCAAAAGGCUAGAACAAUUGCCAAUCCCAGUUGCUGUGUAAUGGAACUUCCAGGCUAAGGCUCCUUUAAAGUACCUGCUCGCCCGGCCUAGGAAAUUAUUAUUCUAAUUAGUCAACGACAACUUCAAGGCUUGGUGUCGGGUGAUGACGAAGACCUUAUGACGUAGGUCCGCUGAAGUGGUAAUUCGCAUUAUUACGUGCUUCUAGAAAUCUCCUCUUGCUUUUUUAGCUUUUAUUUUGAAUAACGCAGACAUGCUGAGUCACUUGGCCCAACAAACAUGCCUUGUUUUUAGCCUCUUUUUUUUUUUUUCUUUAUCUUUAUCCUUAAGUUUUAAUUUAAUUUCCUUAAAAUUAAUUAUUUAAAAACAUAUUAAGGAUGUUAUUUUAGUAAAUACUUAAAUUAUUAAAAUUAUAUAUGAAAUAUUAUUUUAUUAAAUAUCAUUUAAUCUUUAAUUUAUUUUCAAAUAAAAUUAUAAUAUCAUUCUUAUAAUAUUAGUAUGAAUUGUUUUUCACAACCCAUCAUGAUUUUUUUUUAUCUGUACAUAUACGUUGUCAAAAAAUAUAAUAAUAGAUUCUAAAAAACAAUUAAGGAUACUAUUGAACUAUAAAAUGAUAAUUGAUUAAGAGCAUAUUAAAAAAUGUGAUAGAAAUUGUAUUUUAAAAUAGUUUUUAUUGGAAAUAUAUUAAAAAAUAUUUUUUUUAAUUUUAAAAAAUUUAUUUUUGAUAUCAAUAUAUUAAAACAAUCUAAAAUACUUUAAAAAUAUAUUAUUUUUUUAAAAUUUAAGCAAAUAGUAUUUUAAGCAGUACUAAACACCCCAUUUUACUAUAAACAAAAUCAUCAUAUUUUUAAUCUAUUUAUCACAUCAUGAAACAUCAUGAUGAUUAAUUAGCAAACACAACACCACCGUGUAGAAACCAUGUGUGACACUUCAAAUUCAUCGUAACAAAUUGAUCAAAUUAUAAAAUAAUCCUUAUACUUCUAAGAAAUUAGUAGCUCACUCCCUUUAUUUAAAAGAAGCCAUAUUUUACCUCCAUGUUAUCAUUUCCAUUUACUAUAACUUAGUUCUUCCUUUAGUUUUACAUUGUAAAAGUGCUAAACCAUCAUUUUAGGUAUUAGUUAAAAAAAAGUAUCUAUUAACAGAUUGACGGUCAAAGCUUCUCAAUUGAGUAACUUUUUUGUUUUUAAAAAACAGAAGGACUAACAUGUUGGUCUAUUGAAAAUGUAAGGAUUCAAUUAUAAUUUAAUUCAAGAAACAAAUAUGAUGCUAUUGACAUGUCCACAAGUCCACUGGCACAAUUAUUGCUUAUAACCCAUCACCUAUCAAUAGUGAUGGGGGAGGGGGGGGCCAGAAGUGUCCUUCUCCCGUAGGGUAAAAGCCCAGCAGUGUCCUCCCCCAUCGUAGGGUGGUCCAAACACAAGAUGGCUAGAGAUACUAAGAACCUGUUUGGUAUUGCGGUAGCUAUUAUGGUUGUGAUUUUAAAAAAGUUAUUUUAUAAAAAUUAUUUUUAGUUAAGGUUGGUUUAAUAAAAUAGGUGUUUGGUUAAAAUUGUGGUUGAAAUUGAGGUUGAACAAAAAGUAGUUUAAUGUGUUUGGUUAAUAAUGCUUUUGAAAUUGAGGUUAUAAAAUAAUUUUAAAAAAUAUAUAUUAAUAUUGAUGUUUUUUAAUUUAAAUAUUGUAGAUUUAACUAUUAUUAUUACAUCAUGAAAUAAAUCAUACUUUAUAUAAAAUAUUUUUUAUUGAUUCAUUAAACCAUCUACAUUUCUAUCACGUACGAAAUACAUCCGACAAGAACUACAGUUUUCAUAAUUUUUUAGCGUGUAAUAAAAUUAGAUAAAAUAUUAUCAUGUAUAAAACUAGUUUUUUUUUAAAAAAAAUGUUAAAAAAAUUAACACACUAAAAAAAAAGUGUCCACACAGUGCAAGUGAACAAUGCAAGAGAAUUGCACUGUUCACUAUUUUUAAGUGAACAGUGCACUUUUCUUGCACUGUUCACAUGAACAGUGCAUCACUAUGCACUGUUCAUGUUAAUUGAACAGUGCAAUUAACAUGAAUAGUGCAAAAAAAGUAAGGAAUUCUUGCUUUUUAAAUACUGCGUUUCCAACACAAAAAAGAAAUAGGAUCCAGUAAACAGUAUAUCUUUUUUUUUUAAUCAAACAACUACAAUUACGUUUUAAAUAAAACGCAACCGCAGUCACUGUGAUAAAAAUUAUUAUUAUCACCAUUAUUACCAUCAUAAUAAACUAUUAUUUUUAUUUUUAUUGCUGUUAUUGUUACUCUUAUUAUUAUUAUCAAAAAAUUUAUCAUCAUCAAUAAUAUUAUCACACCUAUUAAUAUCAUCAUCAUAAAUAAUAUUGUUAUUUUCAUUAUUAUUUUUAUUACUACUACUAUCAUCACUAUUUUUAUAACUAACAUUACUAUUAUUAUUUUUAUUUUUAUCACCACCAUCACCACCACAAGUCCACAACCACCACCACCACCAUUAUUGAAAAAGAAAAAACCUUAAACUUGAUUUGAAUAGAAUUGAAAACUAUAAAUUUUUUUAUAAAAAGACUAGGAAAAACAAUAAGAAAUUAAAAGAAUAUGGACCAAAUUGAAAUCAUUAUUAUUAUCAUUGGCAAAAUAAAAAAUUAUAAACUUGAUUUGAAGAAUAAAACUGAAAGUAAUAAAAACUUUGAUAAAAAAACAAAGAAAAAAAAUUAAAAAUUAAAAGAAAAGAAGACCGAAUAUAUACAAAUUAAAAAUCAAGGGUUAAAUUGAAAAAAAAACUUUCCCAAAAGGAAAAAUGAUCAAAAUACCAAAAUCAAAACUAAAAGAACUGAAUUUGAAAUACCAAUAACAAUGAGGUCCAUAGUGCUUUUCGGGGGGCAGGAAAAAAAACAAAAGGAAAAAAAAAGGAUCACUAGCAAUAAACCAAAUAUAUUUUAACUACACAAGCCACCUAUUAUAAAAGAGGAGACAGUGAGACAUCAAAUUACACAGCAGAAGGACAAUUUUUAUCAUUGGGAGUCGCUGCAUGCACCGUCCAAAUUACACAACAGCUCCCAUGUGAUGGCUCGUGUUGUGCACGUAGCAACAACUUUUUUAAAAUAAAAAAAUAUUAUUUAAAUGUUAAAUUGCAUUACUAUCCUCAACCAAAUCAACAAUUAACAAAAAAAAAAACAAGAGUAAAAGACCCUAAUACCCUUGAUCCCAAUGAAUUAAUUUUUUUAGAUCCAAGGGUACAUGUGUAAUUUCACUAUGUAUUAAAAAUAAAAAAUACCUAUAUACUCCUAUAUGAAACUAUUGAUUUUUUUUACUCCUAGAGGUAUUUUUUUUAUUUUAUUUUUCAUUAAAUAUUAAAAAUAUAAAAAUGCCCUCAAACAAACCUCUAAUAAUUAAUAUUCUGUGUGAAAUUACCAAAAUACCUCUGAAUCAAAGGUAAAUAAUUUUUUUUAAGGCUAUAGACAUUAUUUCACUAUUGUAAUGGAUAGUAAUAUGACUCUAUAGCCAUAAUGAAUUUGCCUUUUUUUUAGUAUUUUUUUUAUAAUUAGUCAACUAUACUUCAAGACUUGGCUGGUGUCAGGUGAUGACAAAGAUAUAAUGAUGUAUAUUAGAUGCUUAUAUAAAUCUCUUGUUUUUUUAAAAAAAAUGAAAAACAUAUUCCAUUUUGUAAUCUUUUUUUUUUCCGUUUGUAUCAUAGUUUUUAAACCCGACCUGGUGGUCGACCCAGUAUAAUAAUUGGGUCACGGGUCAGAUGGGUUGACUCGGGUUAAUAAAAAAAAAAAUAAUUUCUUGCUUGCCCUUGGACUAAUAAUAAUAAUAAGCAUCAUUGAAAAAAAGAAAAGUUUCUAGAGAAUAACCCUGCUUGCCACUCAUGUUUGACCAGAUCCAAAACCAAACAUUGAUUGCCCUUAUAUAAUUAGCACAAUCACCCUCACAACACAGUACACACAAAUCCCUACCCCGCUCUUUACAAACCACCUUCCCGCCACCUCCACAGCCACCACAAGCCCACCAUCACCUUCUCAAUUUUGGGAUUCAAAGUUCCUUCUCAAAGGCGUAGAAGAGAUUACGAAAUACAAGAGCAAUGCCUACCUUCACAACCACAACUAUUAUGUCAUCUCAAAGCAGCAACCUUAGUCUCCACAAACUCAAGAUUAACCCAAAAACACAAUCAAACAUAGUCACAAUUGGUGGGUGAAUUUUUCAAACAACAGACUAAACCCUAACUCAAGCAGAUCUGAAAUCCCUCUUUUCCUAACUCUCCAAGCUGAAUCAACUUGUUCCCUAUUUCAUCAAUCGAGACCCUAAUUUAUUCUCUAUUCUCUUAUCCCUCUUGAGAACCGGAAAUCUCCCCUCAAAGACCAAGUUUUCUGUGAAGAGUCAAAGUUUUACAAGAUUGAAGAGAUUAGUUUUCUGUGAUUCUGUAUUUAUGUUACAAAUGAUUUGAAGCAAAAGAAUUAAUUUGAUUGCUGCAACUCUCAUCUUAAUUUAUUAGAGAAGAAAAAUCGAGCUAAAACCGUGAAGCCUAGUUUAAAUGAACGAACAAUUAACUUUUAUACGUGGGAUCUUGCACGUGAAGCCUAGGAAAGGGCAAUGGCCAAAUAGAGAGACCCUGUUUUUAGAGGGGAGGAAAAUAGAAUUUUUAAAUACAAUAACUAUCAUUUGGCAAUUAACGGUAUCUUCUGAGUUGUGACUUUUCCGCAAUCAAAAGCACAAUUGAUUUUUAUUAAGUUUUUUUAAAAAUUUCAACUCUCACCCGCACAAUAAUAUUUUUAAUAAUCAAUCCAUCUCAAAUUAUUAAAAAAAAUUAAAUACAAAAUAAAUUCUAAGUAAUUUUGAAAAAAUAACAAAAAAAUUCUAAAUAAAAUAAAAAAAAUAUCUUAAUUCAAUUAGGUAAGCAUAAUAGCUUAUGGUUUUUUUCGUAAUGCCUUCUCAAUAUCUAAUUGAUAUUAUAUUUUAACUUUAUAUGAAAUUUUUUACUCAAUUCAAUAAUCAAAUCAAAAGUUAUAUCUAUUAACAUAAAACUAUAUAUUAGAAAAACAAGCUCAAUUCACGUGUGAGUAGGAAAAAAAAUUGAAUCCAUAAGUCUUGUAAUAAAUAAGACCCAAAUAUCUUAAAUUAACCAUUAAAUGCCUUUUUAACCUUCUUAGCUCCUAACUCCUAACUUUUUAAUAGAUCCAAUUGGCACAUGUAUUAGAUCAUGUAGUAUUGCUUGAUAAGUCUCAACAACAAUUUUUCAAUUCAUCCAAAUUGAUAAGAAGAAAAAUAAAUGAAAUAUGGAAAACCACUCUCUAUAAAGAAAAUGACAAUAAAAUCUUCCAUCAAACUCUUAACCAUCUCAUUGCAAAAAACCCUCUCGUCGGUCGUCGAAACCACCAAAAUAUAAUUCUGACUUAAUUAUCACAAACAAAAUAAAUUUAUAGUAUGAUCGUGAAAACCAGGUCAAACUCAAGGAAAAUUUUGUUUAAUCUUCCUACAAUAUACUGAAAUGAGAAAGAAUGAGAGAUUUGGAUGAAAAAUUCAAGAAACAAUAAUUCUGAAAAUAAUAAAUUGAUGUCGUUAAAUCAGUUCAAGGAUCCACACAUUCAUUCCUAUAAAUCUGUUGAUCAUCGAAGUAAAAUAAAUAUUCUUUCGCAUCAAACAAAUAAACUCGAUAUCCCUUAAAGCUGAGGAAAAUCGAUGAGAUUAUAAGUUCAUUAAUUAGAAAAAGCUCUUUAAUUAAUUUCUUACCAUCAAAGGAAUGUAAUAUUGAAAGCAAUUUUCAUUUACUCGGUAGUAGUCUUAGAAAUAAAAUCUAUGCAUUUAUUCUAAGCAAACAUUCAAAAGAUUGACAAUUUUAACUUAGUUUAUUCUUCUCUAAUAAAUUAAGAUGAGAGUUACAGCAAUCAAAUUAAUUCUUUUGCUUCUUACUCUAGUUCCUAACAACAAUUACGGAUUGAAAAAAACUAGAAAGCAUACAUGCCAUCUCAAAACAAUUCAAUAAGCUUGAAUAACAAUCAAUAACAUAAUUCUGAACAAGAAAAAAUGAAUACUUGAAUAUGAUAGAAUUACAAUGAUAAUGUUACUUCUCACAACAUGUUAAUGGAGAUGGUGUGUAUCCCUCUUGAACCUAAUUCAGGAGUUUAGUUCAUAGUUGCUGAAAAAUUGACAAAAGCAGAGAAGAAAGGAAUGUUUUUCGACUCUUGUUUCAGCUGUGUUCUGCUUUCUUUAUCCUCCCCAUAUGCUACCGAAAUCUUCAGGAUUCUUAAACUAAUUAGGAGUCUUCAUGAUAUUAAAUUCGUUCCUUCUUUAUCUGGUCUUUAAGGUUGGAUAAAUCUCUCAGAAUUUAUCUUGAAAUCUGCUUCUGCUGUUAUCAUAAUUUUAUUGUAAUACCAACUCUGUUGUAAUUUAGACUUCGAUUCUGACUUGGUUUCUUGUAAUAUCCGACCAUUCCAACUAUAUUCUUUCAUUCAUGACAUGUUAAAGGCUUGAUCUGCACCUUUCUUGGGUCCUAAGACCCAUCUUUUUUAUGUCAGACUCUCAGCCUUAUUGGGAUACUCGGCACCAUUAGUUUCCAAAUCAGAUCAGGGGACCCAUUUUGACCAACCAGAUUGUGUCCAUAUUCUGUCCUUCAAAUCGAUUUUAUCUAACUUUAAGUCUUUCAUGAAAGUUGUAAUCCUGGAUGUGUAGAUGAAUUUUGGUUUUGAAUCACCUACUUUCGAUAUCAAAAACUCAAGAUAUUCCCGUUUGAAUCUCUAGUGUAAAAGCAGAGAAUCCUGCUGCGAGAAGAACUCUGGCCCGAGUUUGCAGGUCUGAUUCGAGGUCCAAAUGAGAUCGGAAUUUUGCCCAUAAUACUUUCCUGGAAAGCUUGACACGUGUACUUCAACUUAGAAUAGCCCACCUUCUCAUUUUAGAACUCUAACUUGACAAAAAACUUGUCACAAGAAGCUAGGUCUAAAACAUAAAAUGCAAAAUUUCUUAUGUUUUAACGAUUAAUUCACGAAGUCUCUUCUGCAUGUCAAACUCAUAAAAAUAACUUCCAAUCAACUCAAAUAAGUUCAAAAUACAUUAAAAAGCAUAGUGCAAAUGGAAUAAAAACUAUGUAUAUUUUGCACUUAUCAUCCUUACAAACAUAGCAUAAGCAGUUAUCUCAAAUUUCAUACCAUUAUUUUGUCAAUUUUUUGCACAAUCAAUAUCCCUGACAUGACUUGAUGUCAAACUUGUUGUUAAUGACUUAAUAGAUAACAAGACUAAGAAAUUUUGAUCUUUCAUCUUCAUAAUUUUGAAAAUAAAUCUAUUAAAAAGUUAUGUAUGUUAUGUUGACAAGUCAACAAAACAAUGCAUAACUACUGAGUUUUUCAAACUAAAACUCCAUAGAUAUAUACAUGUGAAAUCCCCGAUGCUAAAUGAAAUCAUAAAAGAAAGAUCUCAUAGAGUAAUUUCCAGGAACAUUUUUCAUGCAAUAAAUAAAGUAAGAGGUUGGUAUUUUUGUGUGUGUGUAUUUAGUCAUUUAAAAGUUAGAACAUAAUAAGAUUAAUAGACAAUGCAUUACAGUAAACUAGCAAUUGGUAAACUCAAAAGAUGCAAGACUUUCCACAAUGCCUCUGGUCUUCGAUUUCAGUAAAUAUCCAAGGCUACAAAACACAUUGAAUAUUAUUCUAAAAGAAAAUCUUGAUUUUAAGGAAAUGAGGAUAUGAUUUGGUAACAAUUACUUAAAAUGUUGAAAUUAACAAGUCAAAGCUCCAUACUCUUAAUUUUAGAAACCGUUUCAAUUUUUUUUUUGCUAAAAUUUAAUAUGUAUUAUAUGUUUUGAAUCGUUUUGAUGUACUGAUGUUAAAAAUAAUUUUUUAAAAAUGAAAAAACAUCAUUGGCAUGCAUUUCAGCAUAAAAAGUUAUUUGAAAAGCAACCGCAACCACACUGCAAAACAUACCCACCAAUGCAACUUUAACUAUCAUGCAUGAAGAAAUCUUAGGGCAAUUAGACUUGCGUUUAUUCAAAUCUACAUAUGAAAAAAAAAUCCCCAUUUCCUAAAACUCGCAAAGAUCUAGCACUUUGAUGCAUUAUUAUAAAUCCAAAUCGGCAAGCUUGCUAUAACAUUGCUUACAUGAUCGCCCAUGAAUUAUCACAGCAAUUAGCUCCCUAGUUUCCAAUAUUCGCAAUUAAUGAGUCAAUAUGGUUUUUUCCUUUGAAACAACUUGUCCACGUGAAUCACAUCUGCAUAAGAAAAGACAAUAUAAGCCAUAAAAAUUGAUCUAUACCAUAACCAGUCCUGAUAUUGACAAAGGAAAGUUAAAGGCUACAUUUGCAAGCUAUAUUCAUCAAACAUGUUACAACGUGUUGAAUUAGUAAGAUGUAAAUCCUUUAGCAAAGAAAACAAUAAGAUGGUUAAACAUGCGGGCUUGCCGAGCCACCUUUACCUGUUUUAAGUCUUUAUUUUUAUCUUUUGGAUAUUUUCCUUAAAUUUUAAUUAUAUUUCAUUAAAACUAAUCAUUUAAAAAUAUAUUAGCUUAAAUUAAUUAAGAAUAUAUUUGGGGUAUUAUUUUAUUAAAUAUCAUUCAAUUUUUACUUUUCUUUAUACAACCUAUCGUGAUUUUUUUUAAUUUAUUCCGACGAGUAAUUAUUUUUAUUAUGAUAUAAUUAAAUGAAAAAUAAGCUUAAAAAAUAGAUUUAUUAAACCAAGCUAGGUUUAAUAUGGGUUGAACCAAGUCAAUUCAAAAUAUUAUCAUCUUAAUAUUAGAAAAACAUCACCAAUAAAUUUCACAUAAUAACACGCAAAUAGUAUGUUGUUCUUAUGUUUUGUUUCAAUUGAAUUUAAAUUGUUUCUCUUCUUCUAAAAACAUUAUUGCCAUAUAAUCAAAUAAAAAAAACUAAAGAGUUAUUAAUGAUUUAAAAUAAGAUAUAUAUAUAUAUAUAUAUAUAUAUAUAUAUAUUUAUUAGCUUCCUAAAUUAUUUUUUAGUUAAUGUUAAUGAUUUUUUAACAUUUAUUUGCAUAUAAUUUUCAAUCAAUUUUACUAGAUAAAUAUAUGGAGUUCAUAAUAAUUAUUUUUAUUAGAAAAUUUAUUGAAAAUAUAUAAUGUUCUUUUUUAAAAUUAAAAAAAAUAAAAUUAAGUUGACAUGUGCCGGAGCGCAAGCCUCCUAGCCGCUACUCUUCACUGGGACCAUUGAGUGGUUGGUCUAGAUAAUAUCGAUGUCGUCGUUGUAGUUUCCUGAGUCACUGGCUCUUCAAGAAUAAAUUAUUAGCAUACAUAAUAUCGAUGUCGUCUUUGUAGUUUCCUCGACGCGUCACUGGCUCUUCAAGAAUAAUUAUUAGUAUAGAUAUUUUUAUGUUUUUAAAAUAUUUUAAAAAAAAAUUAUUUUUUUAUUUUAAAUUAAUUUAUUUUAGUGUUUAUAGAAUUGAUUUGAUGUGUUAAUAUUAAAAAUAAUUUUUUAAAAAUAAAAAAAUUGUUUUAUUAUAUUUACAAGAUAAAAAUAUUUUCAAAAACAAUUGUAAUUAUAUUUUUAUAAGCCCCAUAUAUUCACCUAGCUAUAUGUUGUUUGAGAGUGGGUACAAAUAAAGAUUUGUUAAAAAUUAAUUUUUUAUUUUAUUUAAAAUUAAUUUUUUAUUUUUAGAUUAUUUCAAUAAGUUAAUAUCAAAAUAAAUUUUAAAUAAUAAUAAAAUAUUAUUUUAAAGUAUUUUUACAUACCUUGUACUAGAUUCACAGUAUCAAGAGAAGAAGGGUUGCUAGUUGCUACCGGAGAAGUUAGUUUCAUUGAUUGAUGGAAUGUUAUACUUUAGAAAUCAAAUAAUAUGGUGUCACGAGAAUUAAGCAAAUAGAAAAGCAUUAAAUUUAUGGAAAUCCUUUCCUGUUCUGCGAGGGGAAGGAGUUAGUGGUCUUGAUGUAGUUGUUGGCUUUGCUAACUUUUCCUGUUUUCUAUUAAAGUGUGGUUGUAGUUAUUUUUAAAAAUAUUUUUUUGUGUUGAAAUAUAUCAAAAUAAUAUAUUUUUUAUUUUUUAAAAAUUAUUUUUAAAAUUAGCGCAUCAAAACGAUACAAAACACAUAAAAAAAUUAAUUUUUAAUAAAAAAAUAGAAAUUUCUAGAAACACAAUUUAUUCGCGUUCCGAAACGGUGCCAUAACGGUUGCUUGGAUUGGAAAUUCUUGUUUCUUUUACGGUGGAGUUACAAUGGUUUCAUUGUAUAAUGUUCGUUAAGUCACAAUCAGCCCAGUUUUUGUAUUUAAUCAGCAUUACAAUUACAGGAAUAUUUGCUCCAGAGGUGAAGCUGGUUCUUCAUCCAGCCAAAUAGAAACAAAGAGAGCGGCACAAUGGCAUCAUGCAUAGCAUUUUCCUUUAGGAAUGACAAAACCCUCAUAUCAAGUGAUUGAGCUAUGAGAACAACCAUCAACCAUGGAUUCCCAAGUUUCAAAUGGAUUCACAAAAACACACAGAGCUGUUUAUUUAUUUUUCGUAUCCAAAUACAGGACAUGAAAACCCUUUCAGCCUCACACUUCUUAGAUACAUAACGACAACAGGAGAGACAUCCCCACUAUAUUCACACACAUGCAACAAACAUCUUCCAUUGCAUACUUACUACAGCAGAAAGCCCAUAAAACCCGACACAAGCAGCGCUUGCCUGCUUAAGCUCUGCGGCACGCAUCUCCAUCGCAGUUCCAUCCUUCCUUUCCCUUUUCAGUUCCAGUAUCUUCAUCUUCCUUCAAAGCACACUUAGGGUGAAGAUCAAAGUCACAUUGUUUGCAAUGGAAAGACCACCUAUUUCCAGUUUCCCCACAGCCAUCGCAAAUAUAUGUUUUGCGUUUAGUACGUAUCAGCUCAUGCUCAGUAUGAAGUUCGUGUUUCACUUUCUCUGGCCACCCCUUUGCCUUUUCCUCAAGCUCCUCCUCCAAUUGCUUUAGAUGUUCCUCGGUAAAUGGAAAAGCAUCUGCCCCGUAAGCUGUCAAGUGCAUCCGAGCUUCCUUGGUAAUGGUCCGGCCACUUGGGCCAAUCGCUACAGCUGCAGGAAUGCCUUGAAUUUUGAAUUUCCGACUCAGGAUUUGUUUCCUUCCAUCACCAAAUGGAAGGGCUAACCAAGGCAUUUCUGAAUAGAACUCGUCAAAGGUGGUUUGAUCGCUGUCACUUGAGAUGAAGAUCACCUCAAAUGCAUUGUCUUUUGCUUUAAUUGCGUGGUAUGCUUCAAUUAGCUUGGGUAAAAAGGCACGACAAGGAGGGCACCAUUGAGCUGAGAAGUAAAGAAGAAUGUUCUUUCCAACUAGAUCGGACACUGGGACCUAAUCAAAGAGUAAACCAUUUGAAUGAUAAAAAAAACCUUUGCUAAUGAAUUCAAUUCGUGAUAAUAAGAAAGUUAUUGAAAGUAAUGCAAUAACAACAUGCGAGGUUAGCAUAGAACAAAAAAAAUUACCUUGGAGCCACUUUUGCCAAUCACAAAAUCAUUUUCCCCAUUAACCAAAACUGACUCAAGCGUCUGCGAUUCCAGUUUUGCCUUUUCAAUUGCAGCUAGCUCGUCAAGCUUUUCCGGUGUAAAUGGGUAGGCUUCGAUACCAUGUUCUUCGAUUAGUUCAGCUACAUUUGGGUUCAAAGUCUUCCCAUCUUGGCCAAUUAUAACAAGAUUAGGAAUGGUUCUAAGUUCAAAAUACCGCACUAGCUUCUCGCAGCUCUUGUCCUUCAAUGGCAAUGCCAACCAAGGCAUUGUCUCAAAACUCUCUUUGAAGUCUUCUUCUUCGUCGUCUAGAGAUACUAGGACUACUUCAAAGUUCUCUCCUUUUUCCUUGAGCGUCUUAUACAAUUCCACUAGUUUAGGAGUGAAUUCACCGCACAUCCUAUGAGCAUGGACUGAAAAAUACAAGCCAACCAAUUUUCCUUCAAGGUCCAACACAGGGAUCUGCCAUUACAGAUAGCAAAAAUGUGAAUUAUGGCAUCAUCAAUUCAAUUUCAAAACUAGCUAAUUGAAUGAAGCAUCUACCUUUUUUCCAUCAUUUGAAAUCACAUAAUCACGUGAGCUUGAAACCAAGAUAGAGCUUAUGGUUUGAUUCUUCUUAGCAUUCUCUUCUUGCUCUUUAAGGAAAUUCAGUCUAUCAAGGUUGAACGGAUACCCAUCCACGCCAUGUUCCUUGACAGUGCUGACUCCAUUAUCGCAGGAAACCUUACCAUUAGUAUCAAAAAUGACAAGUCUAGGGAUCCCUCUUACUUUGAACAAUUCCUUAAGACGUUGGCGGGUCUCGGUUUCAGAGAAGGGAAUAGCAAGCCAUGGCAUUUCGGAGAAGUACGUGUUGAAGGAUUCAUCGUCUCCAUCAGAAGAAAUGAAGACCACCUCAAAGCCCCCUUUGGAUGAUAGGUGUUCAUAGACUUCUACCAACAAUGGAGUGAAAUUACGGCAUGGGCCGCACCACGAACCAGAGAAAUAGAAUCCCACAAUCUUCCCAACCAAAUCGCUGACCUUGACCUAAAAAUUAAGAUCAGAAAAAAACAUCAGCCCUUGACGAAUCAAAAUCUUAUUCAUGGUUUCUUUCUCUUGCCAGUGAGAGAAGCAACAAAAAAAAGAGCCUUUUCUUAAUCAUAAAAGCUUCAGAAAUUGGUCAUAAAUUUGUUCUUCAGCAAGGCUUGCAGUCUAAUUUAAACAUGAUAUUCAUCUUAAUUACUAGAAAAACCUACAAGUUCAUAUAAAAAAAGACGUCAACUUAUAAUAAGGCAAGAAGAAGUAGACUUGAAUAAGAUCAGAUCGAGGAACUCAUAUGCUAAAAGCAGUACCUGAUCACCAUUGUUGCGGAUGAGAAAGUCCCUCUCUUCUGAAGAAAGAAGCGUUGAAAGGUCGAGGGAAACGUCUUCGGUGGCCAUAGUUAGCUAUGUGAUGAACUACUCAAAAGGCUAGAACAAUUGCCAAUCCCAGUUGCUAUGUAAUGGAACUUCCAGGCUAAGGCUCCUUUAAAUUACCUACACGCCCGGCCUAGGAAAUUAUUGUUCUAAUAAUUCAACGACGACUUCAAGACUUGGCUGGCGUCGGGUGAUGACGAAGACAUUAUGACGUAGGUCUGCUGAAGUGGUAUUCGCAUUAUCACGUGCUUCUACAACUCUCCUCUUGCUUUUUUUUUUUAAUCUCCUUUUUUUGUUUUUGUUUGUAUUCUAGUUUUAUCCAUGGUUUAAUAAUUUUUUUUGUGAGUUUGUUAUUAAAUGUAUUUUGUGUUUUAUCUUUUUAAUAAAAUCUUUAUAUUUCUUGAUACAAAAAAAUCCUUAAUUGGUUUUUUUAAUUAAAAAAUUAUUCUCUUUUGUUUUUGAUGCAUUUGAAAAUGAAUUUUUCUAUCAAUUUUUUUUCUAAUAUAAAUCAAUAAUCAUAUGUAAAGCAUAGUUGAAAUGAAUGAACGAACAAACAAACUAUAUACAUGACAUCUUACAUAGGAAGCUUAGGAAAGGAUGAAGGCCAAGAAUAAUGUAAAAUAAAACCUAUGCCUCCACUACCAAUAAUGUAAAAAUAAUUAUUGAGAAAAAUAAAUCAUAAAAAUAUACUUCCAGCUCUAGUCAUCCAAAGCUUCUUAAGUCUCAGAAAAAAAAAACAUUUAACACAAACCUCAAUAAAAUUCAAAUGCUAAUUAAAUUCAGAUUUUUGUAACGUAGUCUAUUUUCUAUCAAAUGUGACUUGAUAAUAAUCACAUGCAAUUUAAUAGACAGGCUAAAAUCCAAACUUGAUAUAGUUCUUGGGUUAUAAUAGAGUUUUUCAAUAAUAAAACUCUUAACUUUUUUUUUAUUUUAAAAAUAAUGAUAUUGCAUAUAUUUAAUAAUUAUAAAUAAAAUUAUAUUGUGUAUUUGAGCCACGUCAGGACUCUAUUUCAAUAAAGAGACCCUAUUUUUCCAGGGGAGAAAGAAAGAGUUUUUAAAUGCAAUACUUUGUCAUAAGUCGUGACUUUUCCACACUCAAAAGGGCACCAUACAUAUAUGUCAUUAUACUUUAUCUCCAAACGUAAUUAAAUUAGUCAAUUAAUUGUAAGUGAGGGAAGUUAAUGAAUUUCCACUCUAAAAUGUUCAAAUUCAUUAUCCGUUUUCAACUUUAUCCUGAUUAAAUCAGGUUAAGUAGAUUACUUUCUUCAUUCGUGGGUAUCCAUCAGAUAUCCUAAUCUAUUUUUUAAUUAAUUUUAUAAAAAUCAAACCUAAACUAAAAAAACAAAAUAAUGCUUUAUUUAUGAAUCAUAAAACUAUGAAAUUAAAUUAAAUAUAAAACCAAGAGAUCUGGUUAGUUUAGUGUUGUUGCAAUGUGAAUAAAAACUCAAAAUAUCACGGAUUGAAAUAGUGUUCUAGUUAUUUUUUGAAAUUUUUUUCAUUAUAGUUACCAAACACUUUUUAAAAUUUCUUUUAUCUUUGACAUUUCAUUAAUAGAGAAUUUGGACUUAUUGGUUGGUUUUGAUUGGUUUUCUAUAAUUUUUUUUUUGAAAAAUUAAAUGUCAUUAUAUUAGAGUGAUGUUCGAUUUUACAAAAUAGAAUCCUAUUUUAUUGCAUACAAAAAUUUAAGACUUAGGGGGGCCAAAAUUGAUAGUUAGCAAUGUUAAAGAAUCAUCUUAACCCAAUAGCUUAAGUUUUCAAGUGACGUUCCAAGAUAUGAUUUAUACUAUUCUCUAACACAUCCCCUCAAGUAAAAGCUCUUUGGUCUUGAAAUUUGCACAGACUCACAUUAUUUUGUGCUUAAUUUUUAUCAAAUAAAUAGGGAUGGUGAGAUUCGAACUCGUGACCGCUUGGUUAUCAAGGCUCUGAUACCAUGUCAAAGAACCUUCUCAACCCAAUAGCUUAAGCUUUCAUGUGAGGUCCCAGAAUAUAAUUUAUAUUAUUCUCUAACAAGUAAGAAUUUAAGGUUUUUUUAUUUGAUAAAUGUUCAUUUCACAUCAUUUUACUUUGAAAAAUUUAUAUUUUGAUCCAAAACUCUAUUUUAAUCACAUUUCAGACUAUGAGUUUUAGAAAAAAGAUAAAAAUUCAUUAAAAAUAGCGAAAGAGAGAGAAACACAUACACUGACAAGGUUUUGUUUGUGAAAAUAGCUUAAAUGUGUGUCAAUGUGUUAUUCUUGACAAAAAGAGUGCUACUAUAAUGUUUUUAAGCUUUAUAUUGUCAAAAAAGAUAAAUCGAGGUUGAGAGAAUUAUUUUUAAGUUAAACUUUGUGUUUUAAAAUUAUUUUAGAGUUUCUUUUUAGUUGAUGGAUUAGUUUAGAGACAAUUUAAAAGUAUUUAUAAGAUGUUUUUAAAUAAAAAUAUAUUAAAAAAUAGAAUUUUAAAUAAAAAACUCCAACCCAAUUCUUUAACCACUUCUCUAUUAUAAAAAAAAUAUAAAGCAAAUGAUGUGACAAAAAAAUAAAUCAAGCAAAUGAUUGUCAUUUGUUUUAUUAAAAAAAAAAAUAAAGGACAAAUACUAUGUCAUCCAUCAAAGAUAAAAUAAAAUGGCUCUUUCAUCUUUUGGAUAAGCAUGCCGAGUCACUUGGCCCCACAAACAUGGCUUGUUUCUAGCUUCUUUUUUUUUUUUUAUGAAUCUUUAUCCUUGAAUUUUAAUUUUAUUUCAUUAAAAUUAAUUAUUUAAAAACACAUAAGGAUAUUAUUUUAGUAAAUACUUGAAUUAUUAAGAAUAUAUACGAAAUAUUAUUUUAUUAGAUAUCAUUUAAUUUUUAUUUUAUUUUAAAAUAAAAUUAUAAUAUUCAUUAUAUAAUAUUAGUAAGAGAUGUUUUUUGGACAACCUAUCAUGAUAUUCCUUAUCUUUGCACAUUCGGUGUCAGAGACUAUAAUAAUAGAUUCCAUGGAAAACAUUAAGGGUAAGAUUCAAUUAUUAAAUGAUAAUCGACUAAAAUAGUGUUUGGAGCCGAUCUGUAUUUUUUAAAAAUUCAAAAUUAUUUUUAUUAAAAAUUAAUUUUUUUUUAUAUUUUGGAUCGUUUUGAUGAGCUGAUUUCAAAAAUAAUUUAAAAAAAUAUCAUUUUGAUGCAUUUCAGAAUAAAAAAUACUUUGAAAAGCAAUCGUCACCAUACUCCCAAACAAGAAUUAAGAACAUGUUUAAAAAUGUAGUAGAUGAUGAGUUUUAAAAUAUUUUUUACUCGAAAAUAUAUUAAAAAAUAUAUAUAUUUUUUAAUUUUUUAAAAUUUAUUUUUAACAUCAAUACAUUAAGACAAUUCAAAAACACUAUAAAAAAAAAUAAAUUUUAAACAAAUAAUACUUUGCCCCAUUUAACUAUAAACAAAAUCAUCGUAUUCUUAAUCUAUUUGUCACAUCAUGAAACAUGAUGAUCAUUAACUGGCAAACACAACACCAACACCAUUACGUAGAAAUCAAGUAUGAAGGGCUCGUAAAUCUAGUCGAUAUAUGUAUAAAUUAGCCCGAACAUUCACAUUAAUAAAAACAAAAAAUCAUGUGUGACACUUAAAAUUUAUCAUAACAAAUUGAUCAAAUUAUAAAGUAAUCCCUAUAUUUUUAAGAAAUUAAUAGCUCACUCCCUUUUUUUAAAAUAAGCCAUAUUUUACCUCCAUGUUAUCAUUUCCAUUUACUGUAACUUAGUUCUUCCUUUAGUUUUACAUUAUAAAAGUGCUAAACCAUUACUUUAGGUAUUAGUGAAAAAAAAAAAAAAGUAUCUAUUAACGGAUUGACGGUCAAAGCUUCUCAAUUGAGUAACUUUUUGGUUUUUAAAAACAGAAGGACUAACAUAUUGGUUUAUUGAGAAUAUGAGGAUUCAAUUAUAAUUUACUUCAGGAAACAAAUAUGAUGCUAUUGACAUCCCCACAAGUGAACUGGCACAAUUAUUGUUUAUAUAAAAUUUCAAAAUUAUUUAUUCUUAAUUUUAACAUUUUAUUUUUAAAAUUUUAUUGUAAUGAAGUGACAGAGUAUGCUAAGAGUAUACCAAAAUAAAACACUGUUGUUUUAAUAUAAAAAUUAAUUUACAGGUUGACUGGAUAGCCUUAUAACCUAGAUGUUUUUCGAAGUUAGUUUUGAAUGAAUGGAGUGUUAUUAGUUAGUUCAGCGUGAUAAUUGGACUGAAAAUCUUUCGUUCUAAAUUAUCAACCAUUCAGAAUUGUUUUGUGCGUGAGGAUGCCAAAUUACCAAAACUAAACCCUAUUUAUAAUCCAUCACCUAUCAAUAGUGAUGUAAGAGUUCCAGCUUGUUUUCUGCAGCUGUGCCAAAACCUGGAGGGUCUAUACUAGCCCAGCAGUCCUUCCCCCGUCGUAAGGUAAGAGCCCAGCACCAGCAGUGUCCUUCCUCCGUCGUAGAGGGGUCCAUACACGAGAUGGCCAGAGAUAGUCAGUGAUUUCGAAAUAUUCCUUUUCAGACUGCAACAAUUGAUAAGGUUUUGUGGCUGUCAUGGCGAAGGCAAAUUAAAGCACAUGAGAUUCAGUGGUGAGAAGCUAUGGAAAGUGGCAAAAAGAAACAGCGAGAACAUGAAACACGCAUUUGAACAUGAAAAAGUAAAUAAGCUGAACAUAAUUAAUGGGCCAUAGAAGCGAAGGUUUUUUCAAUGGCUUCAAACUUUUUGGCAGCGUGCUUGAUUGUUGUCGCCGAAUUUCUUGGCAGUGUGCUUGCUUGAAUUGCGGAUGUAUCACAUGGAUGAUAUUUUCGUUCUUUUGAGGCAUCAAAUAAUAUGGUGUCACGAGAAUUAAGCAAAUAGAAAAGCAUUAAAUUUACGGAAAUCUUUUCCUGUGGUCUUGGUGUAGUUGUUGGCUUUGCUAGCUUCUCCAAGCUCACCACUAAUCCUAUCUGUCCUUUGCGUCCCAUGAACUGAUACAAGCAAUAGCCUGCCCGUGAUUCUGGUUUAAUUGAUUGCAGACAUGUUCAUCAACAAACGCAGGUGUCCGCCCUCCAAAUAACUGCCAUGAACCCAGUUUCCACCUGCUGGGAUUUCAUUUGUCUUUCUUAGUUCUGAGUUCGAAUUAAUGCUGCUUUCUUGAUUCUGAAAUCCGCCUCAACAAGUUAUUUGAGAAGGCAAAGAGGGGGGAAAAUGACUAUCCAGUUGCUUGGAUUGGAAAUUCUAGUUUCUUUUACGGUGGAGUUACAAUGGUUUCAUUGUAUAAUGCUGGUUAAGUCACAAUCAGCCCAGUUUUUGUAUUUAAUCAGCAUUACAAUUACAGGAAUAUUUGCUCAAAUGGGUCACAGGAUUCACAAAAACACAGAGAGCUGUUUAUUUAUUUUUCGUAUCCAAAUACAGGACAUGAAAACCCUUUCAGCCUCACACUUCUUAGAUACAUAACGACAUCAGGAGAGACAUCCCCACUAUAUUCACACACAUGCAACAAACAUCUUCCAUUGCAUACUCACUACAGCAGAAAGCCCAUAAAACCAGACACAAGCAGCGCUUGCCUGCUUAAGCUCUGCGGCACACAUCUCCAUCGCAGACCCAUCCUUCCUUUCCCUUUUCAGUUCCAGUAUCUUCAUCUUCCUUCAAAGCACACUUAGGGUGAAGAUCAAAGUCACAUUGUUUGCAAUAGAAAGACCACCUAUAUCCCGUUUCCCCACAGCCAUCGCAACCGUAUGCACUGCGUUUAGUACGUAUCAGCUCAUGCUCAGUAUGAAGUUCGUGUUUCACUUUCUCUGGCCACCCCUUUGCCUUUUCC